AUAUAUACUCAAUCGCGGUCCAGGAGUAGCUACCUAGAUAGAAAUUGAAAAUCCCCCUCUUCGAUUCGAAGGCAACUUUGAUACGCUGCUUACCACCGAUGACCUUUUGAUCAUGGGACGGUAAGGUGCAGAUGCACCCGGGCAUCGAAACGCCGCUCACAUAAAGGAGCAGAAGCAGUUUGAAGAAAACAAGGUAAGAAGAAAAAUGGUGGAAUCCAGAAAUGCAGACAUGGAUCAUGAAUGACUUGGGGCCGGGGAAAGGGCCUCGUAGAAAGUACUACAAACACAUAUUAGUACAUUACAUGAAUGCUGAUUCAACCAACACAUACACCUGUGCCUGUUUGGUGUGAAAAUAAUACAACUCUUUUUUUUA